rnacentral:lncRNA from 1 species
GAACCUCUGUUUAAAAUUUGGUCAGAAUUCCCUCUACAUAUGAUUUUCAGAAGGAAAUAAUACAUUCUACUGCUUACACAGUAGUCUAUUUUGAAGCACAAAGUUUCCAUUAAUCAUUUUCAAUAAUAGCUGUGCAGCAUCUUAUAAAAUAACUUGUAGAUCAAACAUCAUACAUAAAGCACAGUCCAAGACAGAUGAGAAUGAAAGGUGGCCAGUAUGUUUUAAAGAUGAUAAACCAAAAGGUUUUGGUUAUCUUUUGUGGAGAUCCAAUUGCCUGAAUUCCUCUGAAACUUGGUUCCAUUUGGCAGAUCCAUAGAGUUACACUGGAGCACAGUGAAGGGUCAAGAG